CUGCAAGAUAAAACACUGUGUUGAUAUUUAGACCUUGGCAACGCGUAUUUUUGUCUAAAAUCGUAUAUCAAAACUAUAAUUUGAAGAGCUGAUAAUCAGAUGUCCUCCAACUUCAGUGUGAGGUACAGCUAAGGCGUAUUUCCUCCCUUCUUCCAUCAGCUAUAAAUGAUAAUCUGCUGCAACCUCCCUGAAAUGAAAGCACUUUACAACCUCUCAUAUUUCUGUUGGUUUUCCUGCUUAACAUUUUGUAAGCUUCACAGCAACACAUUACAUUUAUUUAAUUCCUUUCACUUCUUCUGGUUUUGGAUGAUCUGCAUUAUUAUUAUUACCAUUAUUACACAUUUCUCAUCAUAGCAUUCUGCUUCCUUCAUCCUUUUAAAAUUGUAAGAAAUUGUUUCAUUUUCAGGCAUGAAAGAAUGAAAACAAAUCUUUUGUCACUAAGGUCAGUGAAAUUAAGUUUGUUUCUGUCCCCCUGACUGAGUGAAAUCACGAUUCUUUGAUGGCAGUGAGACUUUUGCUACCAACUAAAAUAAUUCUGUAAUAUCGCUGUCUUAUUUCUAUAAUGUUAUUGUUCAGCUAGGAAAAUAAAACUUCUUACCUUUCUGCUGUUCUUGAAAAUAAUAAUUGAUAUUUUUCACAAUGUAUUUCCAGGAGUCUCUCAACUGUUACUUGCCAUUAAUUUUGUAUUUAAUAUUCUAUCAUUAUUCAAAAAUUAUCAAAUUUACCUUAUUCAGGAUAAUUUAACUUGCCACUCAAUCUUAUGUUUUUGGGAAAUGACAAGCUGCCUCUUUUAUUCAUGCAUAUAGCAUGUCCCUCACUUUUAAGUAUUCCAGACUGUGCCUUAUUGGUCAGAUUUUUCUUCUGCUUAAUAUAUUGAAUAAACUGUCCAAUCCCUUACUUUCAAAACAUUUCUAGAUGGUGAUUUAGAGAAGCAUUCUAGCUUGUUAACUAUUAACCAGCAAAUGUACCUAUCCAUUACAAUUACUGGCUUUAUGGUGUUGCAAAAUUUCCAAGGGGGCCCAAAAAUACUUCUGUUAUCUCCAUUUCCCUCCCAGCUAUGUCCGAUGCUGUGCACAGAUCAUAAUCUUAUUUUUCAGUCGUGCAUAUGUUGUAGUGCAGAUAACAAGAAUUUAUAAAAUGCUCAGAGUGCAUUUAUGCAGAAGAGGUUCCAGUGAAGUCAGUGGGAUCACUCCUGUGCUCCUUAAGAGCCUUUGGUGGGUUUCAUUGUCCCACAUGUGGUUUUGAGCUAAUUACUCCUAAAUCUAUUCAAAGUUUUACUCUGUAUACUUAAGGAAAGCCUUUGAAAAGUUAGGUUUUGUGCAUUUCUUCUGGGAAGGUUGACUGUGAUGUUUUUCAGGGAUACAGGGAAGGCAAGAAAGAAUUUGCAAAGGGAAUUUGGUAAUUGCUUUCAGCAACAGACUAGGGUCAAAAACAGAAGAAGUCAGUAAGUAGUGGGGUUCUUCGGGUAUGUUUGCUGUACUUGCCAUGUUGUUUAGAGAUAACUGAACUAUAUUUAUCCCAGAUAACUUAAGUACCUUCAGCAUGCUAACCUGACAGCACAGGGCUCAGCUUUGCUGAUUAGGUGUACAUAAAAAGAAUGACAGUGUUGGGUCUCUGCAGUGGAUGAUUCUAUCUAGCAAGAACAGAUCAUGUGAAACAGUGUAUCAGUAUCUGCCUUUGGUUUUGUGGUUAAAUUAACUAGGAUAAAUGCAAUAUACUGAAUCUCUGAGAGUCUGGCACUUUUUUCUUUGGCAGACUCUGAAGCAGUUUUAAAGCUCUUACGUUCAUACAGUUAUUUAUAAUUUAGAUAAGCCAGUGCAGAUGAGUGUUGUCUGUACCUAUCAUUCUUCAGACAGAAGACUGUGUCCUUCCCUGUGCAAUCUGAUAUUUCAUGUUCCAAAUGGCAUUUGAGGUUCACUGUUUCACUGGCUGCCUCUGCCUAGUAUACACAGCAAAAGGAACAACAUAUAUUUUGCAUGUGUAUUACAUGCAAAAGAAACCAAUCUCUGUAACUGGUGUCUGUCUUUACUGCUUGUUGCAAACAGAGCUGUUUAGCAAAAGUGGCAGUGCUUAGAAUUUUGUUGACAACUUUCUUAAAAGUGAAAUUGAAUUUCUGUCAAGUACUAUCAUACUUGGUAAACAGCUGUGUAUUUGAGGGUGACCUUGUGGUUUUAGUCUCCACUUUCACCAGUUCUUCUGUCUUGAUAAGAUUUCCUGUGACCAGUUUUCCCAUUUGACACUCAAGAUCAUACACUGCACAGAUGUAGGAACACAAUGAGAAGAAACAGCUGAGGAUAGGAGCUGGAGGGUACAAAGAUUUCCACGUAGCUCUUGGACCCUGGGCACAAGUGAGUAUGUGCAGUGUGUGUGUCUCUGUUGGCCUUGACAAGUUGAUCUAAUUACUACUGGGAGCUGUUAACCAGACAGAAUAGAUUGCAGCUAAUAGUACAACAGGUGAAGUUCCAGUUUAAACUGACUCAUCUUCUGUACCCAAGGAGAGUAAAAAUUGACAUGCCUUGGCCGGCCAGUUCAGUAGGAUUAUCAGGUUAGUUGCAUAAUGUUUACUUGGUCUCUUUCACCUGAAGGUUUUAACUCCCUGACACUGGGAGAGUGGAACUGUGGUGUUCUUAAUUCCUACUGGACUUUUGAGUAGGUAAUGUACUUUGAAAUACUGCAUGUGUAGAAUACAAAAUAUCCUUAAUGAUGAUUGUUUCCUUUCCACUAAUUCCGUUUGUCUUUCCACUGCUGUAGAAUAGAAGGAAGACCUGUUCCAUCAAGAUGUGCUAUCAGUAGGCAGCAGGAAGAUUGGAAGGCUUGGGACAUCAUAUCUACCAAAGGACAAAGGCAUUUUUAUUCUAAGAAAUUAGUGGGAUUUUUGUAUGUCAUCCUAAAGAAUGAAAAUUUUAAAAUGGAGAUGAAAAGGAUGGGACACAAUUCUUCUUCUCUUUAUGCAUUAACCCUCAACAUAGUGAAGACUACUCAUCCUUUGAUUUACUGCCCAUAUAAAAACACUGGCAUAAAGACAGGCUCCUUAACAUCUUGCUGUGAGUAGAAAGGCCACUGGAAGAGGCCCUUGUGAGACUGGAACAGCGAGUCCAAGAGAAAAUAGCAGUGAGGAAAAUAGCUUGGCACAGAGGCCACUAAGGUAAGGGGAAUGGAGGUGUGAGCUGGGGAUGCUGGCUGUACCUGUGCGGGAUGAACAGCAGUACCACGGCAUUACACGUGGAGAGUUAGCUGGAAGAAAACUGUUGAAACUUUAACUAGUCUAGUGGAUCUCCAGACCAACUCUGCCAGUGUUUGGAUUCAGAUUCCCAUUCCCAGUCACCUUUUUCAGGCCCUCAUGUUUUGAGAGAUAGUGAGAAGAUUAAAUAAUUCUGGACUAUCCCGACGAAGGCAGGAAUUUCCCUUAUGUUUUGAGUUUCAGCCUUUCUCCCACAGAACCCACUUGGGGUUCUGUUUUGGUUGGUGGUUUUUUGUUUUGUCGUGGCUCAGUAGUGUAAAGAAGUACCUUUGACAGCUGCUCAAACUGGAAGCAUUCAUCCUCUUGGCAGGAUUAAGCCUCAGGUCCUGAAAACUCAGUUCAUAAACUAGAGCGUGUUACAGAAUUCACUAAAUCAGUUGCCAUCUGUUCUCCCUUUGGAUGUGCUGCAGGUCCAGCUGCUGGCGCUGGUCAUUCUAAAGGCACUUCAAAUAGUUUCAGCCCAAGGUUUAUGUUUCUGAGUGACAGCAAACCUAACUUGAAAAGGUGUUUGUGUGCUUAGGGACAGAAACCGACAUCUGGGAGUUUCAGAAGCGCCAUAUUUGCACUCAAUUAUUUGGUCAAAGAAACUGAAUUUCGGGAGUGCUGUUACAGGAAUUGGACAUAGGAGGUGGUAGGGUAAGAAGAUUAUCAACAAAGAAGACCAAAUGAAAUAGAGAUCAGCAUAAAUUUGGAAUUUUCCAAGGGGUCUAAACUGAGUUAACAACACAUGGCCAGAAAUGCUGCAGAAGCAGCUCUGAGCACGCAGCCAACCUGCUAUGUUCAUGCACACGCUGCAUGCCUGUGUUCCAUACAUUGCUGGGGAGAAAACUGCCUGCUCAGGGUAAGGUUUCUAAGGUAGCAGACAGGUAAGUGUAAGGUGGGAAGGCCAGGGCACCGAUGCUUAGCAAAUGGAGCACAUUUAACUGUUGUGUGAGUGUAGCAAAGCAUCCCCUGACAUGCAGUGUUUUUGCAGCACGUAAUUCAAGGUAGAAAUGACACUUUUCCACAUAAACUGCAUUCCCCUGCAGAGAAGCAGCAGCUGGGCAGUGACAUUUGCAGCCUCCAGGCAAGCAAUGAAUUGCAGAAAUGAGAUUUUAUCCGUAGUAGAUAGACAAGCCUGGAGUCUCCAAGGAACAAGAGACCCUGCGCUAUGCAUUGUGCUGUGAAUGCAUGUAUAUGCGGUCAAGGUCCGGAUAACGGAGGCAAGAAAAUAAAACGUUCACUGCUGCCACCCUUAAGUUGCGAAUCUGGAAAACCGCUACCUGUUUCUCUGGGGCAUGCAGGCUACGAGAACCGCAGGACACCGAACACCCGCCGAGCAAUCGUUGCCCCGCUGCUGCAUGCGCAGCCCCUACUUUCUCCGGCUCCGCGUCCUCCCAGGGGCGCCGCCCGCAGCCCGAGGCUCUCGGC